rnacentral:ncRNA from 1 species
ACCUUCAAAUUGCGGGAACUCCGUCCGAUUCUAGUACGUCAAUAACAGCCUCAAGUACCACUUCAGUUGAGAAAUCUUCUGAAGGAACACAGGUAAUUCCUGUUCCAAUCGGACUUCGUCCGCGAACCUAUGGUUCGAUGGUAACAAGCUUGAGGACAUGGUGGAAAUCCGCAGCCAAGCUCCUAAGUCCGAACGAAGUUGACAAGGAUAUGGAGAAGGUUCAGAGACUUAAUGGGGGUGGGGCUGAAGGAUCUGGUCAAUCCUGAUGAAGCCUUAAGAUAAAGUCCAGCCUCUUUCGAAAGAUUGAG